rnacentral:rRNA from 1 species
UACGGAGGGUGCAAACGUUGCUCGGAAUCAUUGGGCGUAAAGCGCACGUAGGUGGCCUGUUAAGUCGGGUGUGAAAUCCCUGGGCUCAACCCAGGAAGUGCACUCGAAACUGGCAGGCUUGAGUACUGAAGAGGGUCGCGGAAUUCCCGGUGUAGAGGUGAAAUUCGUAGAUAUCGGGAGGAACACCAGUGGCGAAGGCGGCGACCUGGGCCAUACCUGACGCUAAAGCGCGACAGCAUGGGGAGCAAACGGG